GGGUCGUUAGCUCAGGUGGCAGAGCACCUGACUUUUAAUCAGGGUGUCACAGGUUCGACUCCUGUACGACCCA
rnacentral:tRNA from 1 species